GGGCCCGUAGCUCAGUUGGUUAGAGCAGCUGACUCAUAAUCAGUUGGUCGAGGGUUCGAGUCCUUCCGGGCCCA
rnacentral:tRNA from 1 species